rnacentral:rRNA from 1 species
CAGUCGUACCUUCGGGUAAUCAGCCUUUCGGGUGCGAUUCUGUGGGGUUUGAGGAGCUUUAACACCUUCAUGCUUUGAUUAUUCGUGCUCUUGGGUGUACUUGCCCGUGUGGUUGGUUAACAUCAAUUUUGGUGGUCAUAAAAUGACUGGAGGAAUGUAGCUUCGAUCUCGUAUUGAAGUGUUAUAGCCUUCGGUAGAUGUGAUGAUCGAGAUUGAGGAUUGCAACGGAUACCCUUCGGGGCUACCUGUCUGAUCUCUGAUCGUUGCUCUGGUGCCGAAAGCUUGCUUACGGUUAUCAAAGUCGAUGGUCAAUAGGUUAGAAUGGGUUAAAUUCGUUAAGGAUGUUGACGUA